rnacentral:rRNA from 1 species
UAAACUUUAUGGUCAAGUUAUUAAGAGCAUACGGGGGAUGCCUUGGCGCAGGCAGGCGAUGAAGGACGUGGCCAGCUGCGAAAAGCUCCGGUGAGCCGUUAAACAGGCUUUGACCCGGAGAUGUCCGAAUGGGGAAACCCGUUUAGGCAAACCCUAAAUAUCCCGGUCUGAAUCCAUAGGGCCGGGAAGCGAACCCGGGGAAGUGAACCAUCUCAGUACCCGGAGGAAAAGAAAACAACCGUGAUUCCCUUAGUAGCGGCGAGCGAACGGGGAACAGCCCAAACCGUGUCCAUGUAAGCUCGAGUGCGUUGUGGACGCGGGGUCGCGGGGCUCUACGCGCCUCAACUCGAUGAGGCGGCGGAGUUACAAMAGACCGAYCYAGCCGAACGCUCUGGAAAGAGCGAUCACAGAAGGUGAUAAUCCUGUAGGCAAAAGGCCCGGUCUCUCCGGUGGAGUUCCCAAGUACCACGGGACACGUGAAAUCCUGUGGGAAUUCAGGGGGACCAUCCCCUAAGGCUAAACACUCGCCUGCGACCGAUAGUGAACUAGUACCGUGAGGGAAAGGUGAAAAGACCCCCUGUGAGGGGUGUGAAAAGUACCUGAAACCGUAUGCUUACAAGCAGUUGGAGCCCUGGGCAACCGGGGUGACAGCGUGCCUUUUGCUUAAUGAGCCGGCUAGUCAUUUUAUGUGGCAAGGUUAACCGUUUCAAACGGGGAGCCGCAGCGAAAGCGAGUCUGAAUAGGGCGAUUGAGUCGCAUGAAAUGGACGCGAAGGUGGGUGAUCUACCCUUGGCCAGGUUGAACUCUGGGUAACACCAGAGGGAGGACCGAACCGGUGUUGGUUGAAAACAGCUCGGAUGAGCUGAGGGUAGGGGUGAAAGGCUAAUCAAACCCACGGAUAGCUCGUUCUCUCCGAAAUAGCUUUAGGGCUAGCCUCGGACGAAUGGCAUGGGAGGUAGAGCACUGGAUGGCCUAGGGGUUCGAAAGUUCUUCCAAAUCCAACCAAACUCCGAAUUCCCAUGACCAGUAUCCGGGAGUCAGACUACGGGGGCUAAGCUCCGUGGUCGAAAGGGAAACAGCCCAGACCGUCAGCUAAGGUCCCUCAGUAUAUGCUCAGUGGGCAAGGAUGUGAGGAUACGAAGACAACCAGGAGGUUGGCUUAGAAGCAGCCAUCCUUUAAAGAAAGCGUAACAGCUCACUGGUCAAGCGUUCUUGCGCCGACAAUGUAACGGGGCUUAAGCAUAUCACCGAAGCUACGGAAUGGUCAUGCCUUCGGGCGUGAUCUUUGGUAGGAGAGCAUUCUGACGAGGCCGAAGCCGCGCUGCGAGGCGCGGUGGACUUUUCAGAAGAGACCCUGCCGGCAUGAGUAGCGAUAACGGCUGUAGAAACCAGCCGCGCCGAAAAUCUAAGGUUUCCUGGGGAAGGUCAGUCCGCCCAGGGUUAGUCGGAUCCUAAGGUGAGGCCGAAAGGCGUAGCCGAUGGACAGCAGGUCAACAUUCCUGCACCACCUGAGAAGCGUUACCACCAAUGGGGAGACGCAGGAGGGGUAGAUAUACGCACGUUUGGAUGUGUGCGGUCGCCUAGUAGAGGGAGGUUCCAGGCAAAUCCGGAGCCUCAUUCAACCUUGAGUAUGGCGAGGAAGCUUGGCUUCGGCCUUGUGAACUUAUUGACCCCAAACUGUCGAGAAAAUCCUCUAGGGAGUUUUUCAGGUGUCCGUACCGUAAACCGACACAGGUAGAUGAGGAGAGAAUCCUAAGGCGCACGUAUGAGCCCUCUCAAAGGAACUCGGCAAUCUAACCUCGUAACUUCGGGAAAAGAGGUACCUCGGUAGGGUAAACGGGCCUGCGCCCGCGAGCCCGAGGAGGCUGCAAAAAAAUGGCUCUGGCGACUGUUUAGCAAAAACACAGGACUCUGCAAAGUCAUAAAAACGACGUAUAGGGUCUGACGCCUGCCCGGUGCUGGAAGGUUAAGGGGAGAGGUCAGCGCAAGCGAAGCUUUGAACCGAAGCCCCAGUAAACGGCGGCCGUAACUAUAACGGUCCUAAGGUAGCGAAAUUCCUUGUCGGGUAAGUUCCGACCCGCACGAAAGGCGUAACGACUAGAGCGCUGUCUCUGAGAGGGGUACGGCGAAAUUGUGGUUCCGGUGAAGACGCCGGAUACCUGCCGCUGGACGGAAAGACCCCGGCACCUUAACUGCAUCCUAGCAUUGGAUUUUGGGAUCGCACGCGCAGCAUAGGUGGGAGACUUUGAAGCCGGRCCCCCGGGUUCGGUGGAGUCAUCGGUGAGAUACCACUCUUGCGAUUCUGA